CAUAAUGUUAGCGUCAUUAAGUUGUUUUCUACCUUUCUGAUGACAGACAUUGCAGAUGAUAUGUCCACAGGUGGUGACCGCCAGUUUUCUGUCAGCACUGGGACAAAGGAAGCAGGAGUUGCAGCAGAUCCAGUCUCACCAGCCUCUCUCCAGCAAAUACAGAAAACCUUGUGGAGUUGGUUUGGAAGCAAAGGUAGUGCUGACCAGAGGCGUGCGAUGUGAAGCUGAAUUUGAAAUGAAAGUGAAGAUCUUUUAUACAUUUCGGCCACUUGAGUGAAGUCCUGUUCUU